AUAGGUGUGGGUCUGCCUGUGUGAGCAGGGAGCUUCCUGAGGGCAGGUGUCCUCACCUCCGUGUGUCCCUCCUCUUUCUCUGCUUCUCCCUGUCCCCAUCUCCCUUCUUGUUCCCUUUCCCUCCCUCCUCUGUCCCCAUGCUCUGAUCUCCCCCCAUUUACACACACAAUUUUGUACCUCCUCUGAGAGUCUUGUCUCACCCUGCCCCCACUUUCCUACACAUCAGCCAGUCCCUCCAAACUGAAUAGAAAUUCUCCCCAGUCAGAGGCAAAUAGGAUACAUCCACCCCUAAAAGACAAGGAACAGAAGUGUGGAGAACCAGAAUCAUGUCAAGCAUUUCCCAGGGGAGGGGAAAAGGCCACAGCUGAUAAUAAAAAUGUUGCUUGCUGCCAUGACAACCGCAGCCCUUUAGCCACAGUACCAAGGGUUUGGAGGCAAAAAAAUCAAUUGCAUGUUUAUUUCCCCAGCAUGACCAGUAUCCCUAAGGAGGAGGAAGCCAAGGAGGAGAUGUCUUCAGUCCCCUACCUGUCACCUGCCAGAGAACCAGGGCACCUGGUGGGAGUUGGCCUUCCUUUCUCCUAACUGCCAUCAAUUGUGACAUCACUGUCAGCUGUGUCCAGUGUCUAACUCUUCACUUGUAUCAACGAGCUUAGCGAUGGCCAUUGGGCGUCGGCCGGGUGCCCAGGAGGAGUGGUGUUUCCUCCCAAGAAUUCUCCAAACUUCUUAGAAGCAACCUUGGGAAACUGGCUGCAAGCAGUAGAUGGAGGCCUCAUGAACCUCUCAGAAUUCCAGUGUGCCAACAGGCCCAGUCCAGUUCUCAUUAACAGAUGAAGAUAGAUGUGUAGGCAAUCAAGGAAAUCAUUGCCGUGAGUUUUUGCUGUCUUGAAUGCAUCUCUCCAAUAUGCAUUGUUCCCGUCCCCGCCAGCCCCUCCGAUCCCCCACCCUUCUGGCUUGUUAUCAGCUCCGUGCUGUCUCUUUGCAUUAAAGUGACAAGAAGCAGCACAAAGCUGACAACAGGCGUCUGGAGCUGUAAUUUGCACUGACAUUCACUGGCGUUAUCCACUUAUUGCCUGGUAAGCCAAAUAGGAGAUUUGUCUGAUUUUGAUCCUAGGAAGAGAAAUGACAGCCCUGCUCUGCUCCUGCCAUUCAAAACAAAGCACCAGGCCGGUCCUUGGGCCCGAGUGCUGGCUGGCAAAGCCCACCUUCGUGAUGGGGAGGCUCAUCUUCCUUUCCUCCGGCCGAAACUGCCUUUUAGGCCUGACGUCUGGCAAAUACUGGACAAGGGGCUGUAGUGGGCAGUGGGAGGUGCCAGGCCAACCUCUCAGCUGGUGACAACCCUGACCACGGUUGCCAGGAGACUUCAGAGGACCCUCUGGGGGAAUGAAGUGCCCCCAGGUAGUCAGGCCCCAGCUGAAAGCCCUCCUUCUGCCUCCCCAGCCCCUCCCUGUAGACUCUUCUGGCUGGAAGAGAAGCUAGGCUGAAUGAGAGGCUCUCGAGAAGCAGCACCAAGGAGUUAGCCGGUGGGCACAGCCCGCUAUGUAAUUUACAAGACCCCAGACAAAAUGAAAGUGUGGGGCCCCUUGUUCAAAAAAAGCAGGAAAGAUGUCCUUAAAGGUACUAAAAUAUAAGGCCUUUAUCUUUCUUUUGUGGUCUCCAAUUUGUCAUAGUGUUUUUUUACUUGCUAUGUA